GGCGGACGGGUGAGUAACGCGUGGGAAUCUGCCCUCAGGAGGGGGAUAACGGCUGGAAACGGCCGCUAAUACCCCAUAUGCCGAGAGGUGAAAUGAAUUUCGCCUGAGGAUGAGCCCGCGUCUGAUUAGCUAGUUGGUGUGGUAAUGGCUCACCAAGGCUUCGAUCAGUAGCUGGUCUGAGAGGAUGAUCAGCCACACUGGGACUGAGACACGGCCCAGACUCCUACGGGAGGCAGCAGUGGGGAAUUUUCCGCAAUGGGCGAAAGCCUGACGGAGCAACGCCGCGUGAGGGAUGAAGGCCUCUGGGCUGUAAACCUCUUUUUUCAAGGAAGAAGACCUGACGGUACUUGAAGAAUAAGCCACGGCUAAUUCCGUGCCAGCAGCCGCGGUAAUACGGGAGUGGCAAGCGUUAUCCGGAAUUAUUGGGCGUAAAGCGUCCGCAGGCGGCCCUGAAAGUCUGUCGUUAAAGCGUGGAGCUCAACUCCAUUUAAGCGAUGGAAACUACAGGGCUAGAGUGUGGUAGGGGCAGAGGGAAUUCCCGGUGUAGCGGUGAAAUGCGUAGAUAUCGGGAAGAACACCAGUGGCGAAGGCGCUCUGCUGGGCCAUAACUGACGCUCAUGGACGAAAGCCAGGGGAGCGAAAGGGAUUAGAUACCCCUGUAAUCCUGGCCGUAAACGAUGAACACUAGGUGUCGGGGGAAUCGACCCCCUCGGUGUCGUAGCCAACGCGUUAAGUGUUCCGCCUGGGGAGUACGCACGCAAGUGUGAAACUCAAAGGAAUUGACGGGGGCCCGCACAAGCGGUGGAGUAUGUGGUUUAAUUCGAUGCAACGCGAAGAACCUUACCAGGGUUUGACAUCCUGCGAAUCCCUUGGAAACGAGGGAGUGCCUUCGGGAGCGCAGAGACAGGUGGUGCAUGGCUGUCGUCAGCUCGUGUCGUGAGAUGUUGGGUUAAGUCCCGCAACGAGCGCAACCCACGUCGUUAGUUGCCAGCAUUCAGUUGGGCACUCUAGCGAGACCGCCGGUGAUAAACCGGAGGAAGGUGUGGAUGACGUCAAGUCAUCAUGCCCCUUACAUCCUGGGCUACACACGUACUACAAUGCUACGGACAAAGGGCAGCAAGCUCGCGAGAGUUAGCAAAUCCCAUAAACCGUGGCUCAGUUCAGAUCGUAGGCUGCAACUCGCCUACGUGAAGGAGGAAUCGCUAGUAAUCGCAGGUCAGCAUACUGCGGUGAAUACGUUCCCGGGCCUUGUACACACCGCCCGUCACACCAUGGAAGUUGGCCACGCCCGAAGUCGUUACUCCAACC
rnacentral:rRNA from 1 species